GAUGAAGAACGUAGCGAAAUGCGAUAAGUAAUGUGAAUUGCAGAAUUCAGUGAAUCAUCGAAUCUUUGAACGCACAUUGCGCCCCUUGGUAUUCCGAGGGGCAUGCCUGUUCGAGCGUCAUUAUAACCCCUCAAGCUCAGCUUGGUGUUGGGGCCUGCUGCACUGGCAGCCCUUAAAAUCAGUGGCGGCGCCAUCUGGCUCUAAGCGUAGUAAUUCUUCUCGCUAUGGAGUCCUGGUGGAUGCUUGCCAUCAACCCCCAAUUUUUCUAUGGUUGACCUCGGAUCAGGUAGGGAUACCCGCUGAGCUUAAGCAUAUCAAUAAGCGGAGGA
rnacentral:misc_RNA from 1 species